rnacentral:rRNA from 1 species
GGGGUGGGGAGUCUGACGGAGCCCGCCGCGUGAGUGAUGAAGGCUUUCGGAUCGUAAAGCUCUGUUGUUAGGGAAGAACAUGUGCGUAUCCGAUGAAGAGGCCCCUUGACGGUACCUAACCGCAACGCCACGGCUAACUACGUGCCUACAGCCGCGGUAAUACGUAGGUGGCAAGCGUUAUCCGGAAUUAUUGGGCGUAAAGCGCGCGCAUGCGGUUUCUUAACUCUGAUGUGAAAGCCCCCGGCGCAACCGGGGAGGGUCAUUGAAAACUGGGGAACUUGAAUGCAAAAGAUGAAAGUGGAAUUCCAUGUGUAGCGGUGAAAUGCGUAAAGAUAUGGAGGAACACCAGUGGCGAAGGCGACUCUCUGGUCUGUAACUGACACUGAGGCGCGAAACCGUGGGGAGCCAACCCGAUUACAUACCCUGGUAGUCCACGCCGUAAACGAUCAGUGCUAAGUGUUACGGGGUUUCCGCCCCUUAGUGCUGGGAGAGAGAGCAUUAACACUCCGCCUGGGGAGAG